UAUAUCGAUACAUUUUUGGCAAAGUAACGUAAGUGACAUUUUUGGCGAAAAUCAUGUUUUUUCAUUAAACUAACGCUAUUAGUGUUUAGAAGGUACUGCCAAAGUGUAGUAAGCCUAGAAUUACUUUAAACCUUUUUUUUUUUAAAUAUUUUAAAAACGUAUGUCCAGAAUUGUUUUAAUCAUACCCGCAAAAGAAACGCAACUUUAGCACUAUUUCCAUAAUAAUAACGUAAGCAAACAUCGUUUACCGCCAUAAUAACGUAAGUACCGGUCGGAUUCUGUUACUUACGUCAGAUUUUCGCAGUCAGUGUUUGGCUUACGACAGUGACAGAUUCGUGCUACAAUCGACUAAAUUAUUGAUUUUAGGUCGAAAGCGACAAGAAAAGGUCGUUUGUGAACCUGAAAAAAUUUAUAAGCAACUGCUUCCAAUAUCCGAAUUGAAAAAAAGGGAUCUGGAAAAACUCUGCAAAAAUAAUCUCAUACCUGCCAGGUUUCAUGAUGAAUAUUUUAAAUUAAAAUGUAAGUCUUCUCUUCAAGAUGAGUUAGCAGAGACUGAUGCAAAGGAUGACACUGAUGAUGAAGCCUCCAAAACUUAAUAAAAAAUAUUAUGUAUUUAGUUUAUUAUGUAUUUACUAGCAAGAAUUUAAUAUUUCCUUUAGUUUUUUUUUCAUCUAGCUAUAUAAAUUCACUUAAAUAAAUAUCAGAUUGUUGUAACGUUAUUAUAAUAAACGAUUGUUUGUAA